rnacentral:rRNA from 1 species
AAACCAGCACCUCAAGUGGUCAGGAUGAUUAUUGGGCCUAAAGCAUCCGUAGCCGGCUCUGUAAGUUUUCGGUUAAAUCUGUACGCUUAACGUACAGGCUGCCGGGAAUACUGCAGAACUAGGGAGUGGGAGAGGUAGACGGUACUCGGGAGGAAGUGGUAAAAUGCUUUGAUCUCUCGAUGACCACCUGUGGCGAAGGCGGUCUACCAGAACACGUCCGACGGUGAGGGAUGAAAGCUGGGGGAGCAAACCGGAUUAGAUACCCGAGUAGUCC